GUAGUCCACGCCGUAAACGAUGAGUGCUAAGUGUUAGGGGGUUUCCACCCCUUAGUGCUGCAGCUAACGCAUUAAGCACUCCGCCUGGGGAGUACGGUCGCAAGACUGAAACUCAAAGGAAUUGACGGGGGCCCGCACAAGCGGUGGAGCAUGUGGUUUAAUUCGAAGCAACGCGAAGAACCUUACCAGGUCUUGACAUCCCUCUGACCGCUAUGGAGACAUAGCCUUCCCUUCGGGGGACAGAGUGACAGGUGGUGCAUGGUUGUCGUCAGCUCGUGUCGUGAGAUGUUGGGUUAAGUCCCGCAACGAGCGCAACCCUUGAUCUUAGUUGCAAGCAUUCAGUUGGGCACUCUAAGGUGACUGCCGGUGACAAACCGGAGGAAGGUGGGGAUGACGUCAAAUCAUCAUGCCCCUUAUGACCUGGGCUACACACGUGCUACAAUGGAUGGUACAAAGGGCUGCAAGACCGCGAGGUUUAGCCAAUCCCAUAAAACCAUUCUCAGUUCGGAUUGUAGGCUGCAACUCGCCUACAUGAAGCCGGAAUCGCUAGUAAUCGCGGAUCAGCAUGCCGCGGUGAAUA
rnacentral:rRNA from 1 species